GGGCACUUGGCACAGUUGGUAGCGCGCACGCUUCGCAUUAUGAGCGUUACCGAAAUUGCUCUGCGUGAGGUCAGGAGUUCGACUCUCCUAGUGUCCA
rfam:Gymnopus luxurians FD-317 M1 unplaced genomic scaffold GYMLTscaffold_13, whole genome shotgun sequence.